rnacentral:lncRNA from 1 species
CAGACUGCUAAGAAUUCCUCAGGACUUCCUUUGGUUUGGGAUUUUACAUUCCCAAAAGCCUGAUGUGAUUCAUUUCAGGCAUAGACAAGUUUGUCCCAGUGCUCUGCUUCAGGGCUAAUCAGACAAAACCCAGGAAUAGAAAAGGUAGAUGCCUUGACUUUUGUCCCCGUUUGGGGAUUAAAGUAUUUAUUGCCAGAGUUGUCAAAAGCUCCAAUUAUAACACAUUCAGUUUCAAGGGGAUUCAUCAACAGAAACAAACCAAACAAAAUAGUUGCCCCUAAUUCCUAUCUCCAAGAAUUGCUUUGUGCCAUUUUGAAUUCAGGUAGUUAUUCUGUAUAUAUUUAGAAGACUAUUCUGAGCUUCUUCAAUCUCUAGGAAGUUUGAAGUGGGUAUCUGGGAAGACACAGGGCAGGGAGACUUUGAAAACCCUGCUUGUGCCUGAAAACAAAAAUAGGGAUAAGCCAGAGUGAUGUAACAUCUAAAUUUGUGGU